rnacentral:lncRNA from 1 species
ACUGUAUAGAAGUAUCCAAAUCAAAAAUGUUUUUUACACUUUCUACAGUAAGAUCAAUAUUUUUGAUCGAAAAUUUUAAUGCUAUAUUCCUACUUUUUGUAAGUUUUUUAUUUUUAGUCAUUGAUUUUGAACCGUUUUGAUUACUAGAUAAAUGAUAUCAAAAAAUUAUAAAAUUUAUUUUCUAAAUACUUUAAAUAUAUUAGAUCAAGUCUAGCGAAGCCGAUCAUUGAUUCGGAUAUUCCAUCAUCGAAAACCACUCAGGAGCACAAUAGCCUUGCGCGCGCGCGCACUCUCUCUAUUAUAUAUAUAUAGAGAGAGAGAGAGAGAGAGAGAGAGAGAGAGAGAGAGAGAGCAGGCUGCUGUGCUCUCAGGAGCACGCAGGCCUCCGUGCUUCUGAGCCGUUUUCGAUGAUGGAAUUUUUGAAUCGACGAUCGGCUCCGUUAGACUUGAUCUAGCGUAUUUGAAGUUUCUAGAAAAUAAUUUUUGCGAUUUUUCGAUAUCAUUUAACUAACAAUCGAAAGGUUUCAAAAUCAAUAAUUUUUAACGGCUAAAAAUAAAAAUCCUAUAAAAAGUGGUGAUAUAGCACUAAAAUUUUCGAUUAGAAAUAUUGAUCUUGUUGUAGAUAGUAUAAAGAAGUUUGUAUA